AGGCAGGUCAGAGUCGGCUGAGCAGUCCACUUUUAAUCCAUGGGUCGUCGGUUCGAGACCGACACGGCCUACCA
rnacentral:tRNA from 1 species